GACGAACGCUGGCGGCGUGCUUAACACAUGCAAGUCGAACGGAAAGGCCCCCUUCUUGGGGGGUGUGCUCGGGGGGCGAAGGGGUGAUUACAACGUGGUAGAUCUGCCCUGUACUUCGGGAUACGCUUGGGAAACUGGGUCUAAUACCGGUUAUGACCAUGGUUUAGUGUCUCAUGGUGGAAAGAUUAUUGUGUUUGUGCAGUAUGAGCUCGCGGCCUAUCAGCGUGUUGGUGGGGUAUUGGCCUGCCAAGGCGUCGACGGGUAGCCGGCCUGAGCGGGUGGACGGGCACAUUGGGAAUGGGGUUAGGGCCCGAUCUCUACGGGAGGCAGCAGUGGGGGAUAUUUCCACAUGGGGGCAAGCCCGAUGGCGCGGCGCUGGGUGGGGGAUGACGGCCUUUGGGUUGUAAACUCCUUGCGUUAGGGACGAAGCCGCACUUUUGUUGGGUGUGGUGACGGUAACUUUGUGAAGAAGCACCGGCUAACUACGUG
rnacentral:rRNA from 1 species